GAUGAUUGUGUGUCUGGUCCAUGUUAACUUUAUUUGGCAUUCGACAUUCAUGACUAGAUCCACACUCAUCCA
rnacentral:pre_miRNA from 1 species